AUUGAACGCUAGCGGGAUGUUUUACACAUGCAAGUCGAACGAGUGGCGCACGGGUGUGUAAUGUAUCGGAACGUGCCCAGUAGCGGGGGAUACCUACUCGAAAGAGUGGCUAUUACCGCAUACUAUCGGUGCGGCCGAUAUCGGAUUUGCUAUUUGGUGGGGUAAAGGCUCACCAAGGCCACGAUCCUUAGCUGGUUUGAGAGGACGACCAGCAACACGGGGACUGGGAAACGGCCCAGACUCCUACGGGAGGCAGCAGUGGGGAAUUUUGGACAAUGGGGGAAACCCUGAUCCAGCCAUCCCGCGGGUAGGAGAAGGCCUUCGGGUUGUAAAGUACUUUUGGCAGAGAAGCGGUAUCUGCAGAAUAAGCACCGGCUAACUACGUGCCAGCAGCCGCGGUAAUAC
rnacentral:rRNA from 1 species